ACCAGUCAGUAUCUGGUGUGACCACCAUUUGCCUCACGCAGUGCAACACAUCUCCUUUGCAUAGUUGAUCAGGUUGUUGAUUGUGGCCUUUUGAAUGUUGGUCCACUCCUCUUCAAUGGCUGUGCGAAGUUGCUGGAUAUUGGCAGGAACUGGAACACGCUGUCGUAUUCGCCGAUCCAGAGCAUCACAAACAUGCUCAAUUGGUGACAUGUCUGGGGAGUACGCUGGCCAUGCAAGCGCACAACAAUGUGGCUCAGGAUCUUGUCAUGGUACCUCUGUGCAUUCAAAAUGCCAUCAAGAAAAUGCAACCGUGUUCGUUGCCCAUAACAUAUGCCUGCCCAUACCACAACACCACCGCCGCAAUGGGCCACUCGAUCCACAACGUUGACAUCAGCAAACCAGAUGCCAUCGAAUGUGAGCAUUCACCCACACAAGUCGGUUACGACGACGAACUCCAGUCAGGUCGAUGAGGAUGACGAGCAUGCAGAUGAGCUUCCCUCAGAUGUUUUCUGACAGUUUGUGCAGAAAUUCUUUGGUUAUGCAAACCAAUUGUUGCAGGAGCUGUCCGGGUGGCUGGUCUCAGAUGAUCUUGGAGGUGAACAUGCUGGAUGUGGAGGUCCUGGGCUGGUGUGGUUACAUGUUGUCUGCAGUUGUGAGCCCGGUUGGAUGUACUGCCAAAUUGUCUGAAAUGCCUUUGGAGAUGGCUUAUGGUAGCGAAAUGAGCAUUAAAUUCACGGGCAACAGCUCUGAUGGACAUUCCUGCAGUCAGCGUUGCCAAUUGCACGCUCCCUCAGAACUUGCGACAUCUGUGGCAUUGUGCUUUGUGAUAAAACUGCACAUUUCAUAGUGUCCUUUUAUUGUGGCCAGCCUAAUAAUCAUGCUGUCUAAUCAGCAUUUUGAUAUGCCACACCUGUGAGGUGGGAUGGAUUAUCUCGAUAUUUGAGGGAAAUUGCCUUUUGUGCAUGUAGAAAAAGUUUUAGAACUUGGAGUCCAGCUCAUGAAAAAUGGGAGCAAAAACAAAAGUGAUACGUUUUUAUUUUAUAUUUUUGUGCAGUUUGUAUAUAUACACACACACACACGCAUACAUACACAAAACAAUAUCCUGCGUUUCAUGUUCCUGUUUCUCAGCCUGCCUGUGUGCUACUUUGUUUAGUUUUUUUGCCUCCACAGUGUUCUUGCUGAGCGUUGCUGCCCACAGCCUUUUGCAUUGAACCUGCUGUUGAGGAUCGUCAGCUGAGUAUUUAAACGCAGCAGAAGCCAAAGCAAGACGGCGGGAAGUGGAGCGGGUGGAGCUGCGUUGCGGCCGACACAACCUGGAGGUGAAAACGCUCAAGACUGUAAAGAUGAUCGUCGAUCCUUCGCCACAGCUGCCCCUCACUCUGUCCAACUGCCCUGUAGCAACCGUUGAAACCUUCAAGUUCCUGGGAAUUACAGUCUCUCAUGAACUGAAGUGGGAGAUCAACUUCAACUCCAUCCUCAAAAAGGCCCAGUAGAGGGUGUACCUCCUGCGGCUUCUGAGGAAGCACGGCCUGCCCCAGGAGCUGUUGAGGCAGUUCUACACAGCAGUCAUUGAAUCAGUCCUGUGUUCUUCCAUCACAAUCUGGUUUGGUGCUGCUACAAAAAAUGACAAACUUCGACUGCAUGCUGCCAGAACUACGUCAAGAGCAUGCAAAAUCCUCUUGGAGCCUCCAUAUCCUGGUCACCACCUCUUCCAGCUCCUUCCCUCAGGUCGGCGCUACUGAACAUUCCAACAGCUUUUUCCCUCUUGCCAUUAACUUCUUAAACAGUUAACUUACAAUUCCAUUGUAACAUGCUGCCAAUUUCUUGUCUUGUGUUUGUUGUGACAUUUCUGUCGGGCCAAUUAUACAUUACCCGUUCACUCAGUGUAGUAGUCUUGCCACGCUGCACUAUUUGCAUAUGUUGUUGGCCACUUAUGUGCUUGAGUAGCAUCUGCAACAUUUGCACAAUCGACAUUGUCCCAGAUUAUUGCACUACUAGUCACUUUAAACUGCAUACAUUUCUUGAAGUCUCGGCGCCCUUUGCACAAUGGUCAUUGCACCGGACUAUUGUUUUAUUAGUCAUUUCAAACGGCUCUAAUUGCUAGAGGACAUCUUUUCGCACAAUUGUCAAAAAAAAAAUACAAAAUUUAAUUGUACCGGCAUAACCAGAUUACUAGCAACCUUUUAUUGCUCAGUGACUGUUGUUUUUUUUUUGUGUUUUUUUUUUUAUUAAUGUCUUUAUGUCUCAAAAGUGUUCUCUGUCAAUUGACUGUCUGUUGUCGUACUGAAGUGGCUCCAACUACCGGAGACAAAUUGCUUGUGUGUUUUUGACAUACUUGGCAAAUAAAGAUGAUUCUGAUUCUGAUUAACAAAAAUUCCAAGGUUAUCACAGAUAAAUGAAAAUGCAGUAGAACAAUACAGCAUUAAAUUCUGUAUGCUUAACGUCAAAAACAAUGCAAGGGUACGUGUAAAUAUUGCAGUUUAAUAGACUGGGUGUUCUUUUGAAUAGAUAAUCAAUACACAAAGCUCUUGUGCAAGUUUUUGUAUUAAUGUGAACAUCUUUGAUGUAUCACUUCUGUUCAAGUAACAAGGAAAAGUUGUCUGUUUACUUUCGACAGCACUGGAUGUUCUGCACCAGAUCAGAGGAAACAACAAGUUCAUCUGCUGAUCUAGGACAAGCCUGUUUUUCACAAACACGCAUAUCUACAGGCCGGAACACAAGGCUAUGAAGGAGUAUGUGCUCCGGCUGGAGUCCAGGAAGCUCGCUCCCAGGUUCGUUGGGCCCUUCCCCAUCACAAAGAUCAUCAACCCUGUCACCGUGAAGCUUAGGCUCCCAAGGUCGAUGCGGGUCCACCCUGCUUUUCACGUCAGCCUGCUCAAGCCCGCCGGGGAGUCCCCUCUGGUCCCGCCUUCCAGGCCCCCUCCUCCCCCCCCGGUUCGUGGAUGGGGGCCCUGUCUUCACUGUGAGGCGGCUGUUGUCGUCUCGUCGGAGGGGGAGGGGGUUUCAAUAUCUGGUGGACUGGGAGGGCUACGGGCCUGAGGAACGUUUAUGGGAUCCGUCUGCGUUUAUCGUGGAUGACUCGCUCAUUCGGGACCGUCUGGGGCCGGCCGUUAAUGGAGGGUUACUGUCAUGGGUGUGUGUUCCGGUUGUUGUCUUCCCGCUGUCUCAUACACACCUGCUCCUGAGAGCAUCUUCACCACCUGUGCCUCGUUCACCCUAAUUACCCCUUGCAUUUAACCUCAUGUCUCAUUCUUUCUAGUCGCCAGUUCGUUGUACCUUGUCGUCGCGUUCCAGCAUUCCUUGUUUCCACGUCACAGACUCACAGUAAGACUAGACCCUGUUCCGAUUAUCGACCUCGCCUUUUUGCCUCACAUUUUUGGAUACUGUUGCCUUUUUGGGAUUGCCUGCCUGUGUACCGACCUCUGCCCGUUGAUUAAACCUCUCUCUUUUUGAAACUG